rnacentral:rRNA from 1 species
UUAGAUACGGCGAGUGAGCGGCAAAAGCUCAAAUUUGAAAUCUGGUACCUUCGGUGCCCGAGUUGUAAUUUGGAGAGGGCAACUUUGGGGCCGUUCCUUGUCUAUGUUCCUUGGAACAGGACGUCAUAGAGGGUGAGAAUCCCGUGUGGCGAGGAGUGCGGUUCUUUGUAAAGUGCCUUCGAAGAGUCGAGUUGUUUGGGAAUGCAGCUCUAAGUGGGUGGUAAAUUCCAUCUAAAGCUAAAUAUUGGCGAGAGACCGAUAGCGAACAAGUACAGUGAUGGAAAGAUGAAAAGAACUUUGAAAAGAGAGUGAAAAAGUACGUGAAAUUGUUGAAAGGGAAGGGCAUUUGAUCAGACAUGGUGUUUUGUGCCCUCUGCUCCUUGUGGGUAGGGGAAUCUCGCAUUUCACUGGGCCAGCAUCAGUUUUGGUGGCAGGAUAAAUCCAUAGGAAUGUAGCUUGCCUCGGUAAGUAUUAUAGCCUGUGGGAAUACUGCCAGCUGGGACUGAGGACUGCGACGUAAGUCAAGGAUGCUGGCAUAAUGGUUAUAUGCCGCCCGUCUUGAAACACGGACCAAAA